rnacentral:rRNA from 1 species
UACGAAGGGGGCUAGCGUUGCUCGGAAUCACUGGGCGUAAAGCGCACGUAGGCGGACUCUUAAGUCGGUGGUGAAAUCCUGGAGCUCAACUCCAGAACUGCCUUCGAUACUGAGAGUCUCGAGUCCGAGAGAGGUGAGUGGAACUGCGAGUGUAGAGGUGAAAUUCGUAGAUAUUCGCAAGAACACCAGUGGCGAAGGCGGCUCACUGGCUCGGUACUGACGCUGAGGUGCGAAAGCGUGGGGAUCGAACAGG